UACGGAGGGGGCUAGCGUUGUUCGGAAUUACUGGGCGUAAAGCGCGCGUAGGCGGAUCUGCAAGUCGGGGGUGAAAUCCCGAGGCUCAACCUCGGAACUGCCUUCGAUACUGCGGGUCUCGAGUCCGGGGAGAGGUGAGUGGAAUUCCUAGUGUAGAGGUGAAAUUCGUAGAUAUUUAGGAAGAACACCAGUGGCGAAGGCGGCUCACAUGGACUGG
rnacentral:rRNA from 1 species